CCUGGCGGCACUAGCGCGGUGGUCCCACCUGACCCCAUGCCGAACUCAGAAGUGAAACGCCGUAGCGCCGAUGGUAGUGUGGGGUCUCCCAUGCGAGAGUAGGGAACUGCCAGGC
rnacentral:rRNA from 3 species